rnacentral:misc_RNA from 1 species
CUCCGCUGCAUCUCACGAUAUCUCCUAUCUGGAAUUGAUAGGAGUAGGUCUUUCAGUUUUGGAAUGUCCUUCUCUGGAACAAAAAUGGCAAAAGCCUCCCAGUUCAAAGUUUCGAAAAAUGGGGGUAUGAAGUUAUCUGAUAUAAUCACUGGGACACACUCGUAGAAGAUGGCCUCCACCACUCGAGGACUGUUGACUUCAUAACCUUUUGCACAUAUGCAGUAUUUGCUGCUCUUCAUGUACUGGACAUAGCUUACUUUACUAAUCUUGCCGAAAAUCUUCAUGUCAGGAUCUUUGUUUUCCCAGUUGUUCAAUAGGAUAGGACGAAGGUAACCAUGCAUGUUGCCAGCAAAGAAAGCAAGAAUCCGUCUCUUAGAAAGACGUUUUCCUCCAAUUUCUCUAAGGGGAUUCUUUUCUACACGUAUAUAUGUUUCUGGAAGCGAUACAUCUUUACCAAAUUGGAAGCCUUCUUUAAUGUCAGCAUUGCACAAAGCUCUUAUGCAAUUAGCCAUGAUUCUUUUUGUUUCUGCAGGGGCCCAAUCAUGGCAGGCAACAAGAAAAUGGUCAGCUCCAGCAGUUCUGUUCCAAAAGUUAUGUCUUUGGAUAAUGACGUCGAGAUAAUCACUUAAAUAUCGAACUAAGUUCCUGCGACUGUGAGAAUCAGGGACAUAUAAGGUCUCCUCUAGCAUACGGGAGCUGAACGGUAGAUAAAACAAGUGAGCCUUUUUGGGGUUCUUGGUAACAAAUUUCUUGUUUCUUUUCAGGAGCUUCAUAAACCAACCCUCAGAAGCAUAUAUUCCUUUAAGCACUGGCGUAUGGAAUACUGGUCUUGCACCUUCUGCAUAAAUGUAAACUUUGAGAAUCUGCUCCAUCAAUUCAUAGCUCCUCAUAAACACUGACAUAUUUCUAUACAAAGGAGCAUAUAAGCCAGGUUCAUUUCCUGCUAGAGGAGAAUUCUCAAUGACAUUUUUUGCAUGUAGUAGUUCUUGAUCUACAUCCGAGGACCACCGUGGAAUCAUCGAAUGAAAUGAUGUGCGAGCUUCUUGCUGCAUAACAUUCAUUUCAGCUAUUGAUACAACACUAUCUAUUGGCUUGUCAGACUCCUUCAUAACAGGAAUUUUAUGACCGACUGUAGGAGCAUGGUCAGUGUGUUUUUGCACAGGUAAGUUAUCACUUUCACGUAGAUGGCCUGUAUUUCCUUCUUUUUCAGAUACGUUCUGGUAGGAAGUUAUCAAAGGAGCUUCUUUCUUUGCAUCAAGAUUGACCUGAGGUGUUACAACCAAUGGUGGUGGUGCAAUAGACAAUACUGUGGGACUUAUCUCCCACGACUUAGCUUCCAUCGGCGCUGGAGAAAUACUGCCUCCUCCAUCAGUAUCAACCACACGCGAUAAAGAACUUUCAGAUGUACCAUUUGAAGCUUGUAAAUCAUUUUCAGAGUCAACAGCCUUCUCUGGAGGUAAGCUACUAUUUCUUCCUAAAGUUUCCACAUUUGACUUGUUGUCCAGUUUCGAAUCCUUAAAAGGGGAUUCAUCCUCAGGGUCAAUGUCCUCAGUUAAGGUAUCACCAUCGCCAGAACGUUCAUUCAUUGGAGGCAUAGAACCAUCCUCUACCUCUUCAUUAUUUGCAUCAGAGAACUUUGUGCCAGAUUGAUCUACUCUUUGU